ensembl:lncRNA
CUGAGGUGAAAAAGUCAGAAAUCCUUUUCGUUUCCCUACAAAAACGUAACCAGUUUGAACUGGAGCUUCCCGGACUAGUCCAUCCGCGUGCUUAAAGUCUGAUGGAAAUUAUAUUGCUGGACUGCACUCUAUGAGAAAAAUAACAAUAACCUUGUUUGUUAUUAUUUUAUUUAUUUAUUUUGUCAGACGAAGACGUGUGUGCUGGGAUCAGUUCCGCGAUCAGACAUCACGUUGUGCAGAAGUGGGAGGGAAAGCAGUUCAAGUAAAAAAGAAGUCAACGUGUGGCUAAAGGAAGACUUCCUUGUCCUUUGCUUUCCCGAGGGGAAUUCCAAGUUGGUGAGCAGCGGGUACAAAGCGUGUGCGUCUGCCAAUUCUGGAUCACUGUACACACCCUUCUGUUUGACUGCAAAACAUUCCCGAUUUCUAUAGUUAAUGAAUACACCAUUGCGUGACCGUUUACUGAUUAAGUCGUGCCAUGUUCCAAAGUUAAAGACACAUAUUGAUGUCUCGACAUGUUUAAAAACAGAUAUCCAAGCAUGAAUUGAUUUCUAUUUUAUAUUUUUGGAAAACUUAAAGUGAAUAGCCUUUGAGUGUGUAUAGGCCCUAUACUGCUUAUCGUUUAGAAAUCAUGUUUUAUAUAUGAUACGAUUGUCCCUGAGCAGUUUACCAUUUUAUACAUGUGGAAUUGUUAAGCUCUUGAGAUAUCGCUACAUUAAAUGCAGUUUGUGGGAUUCAUGUUGUCUUUUUUUUAAUUUAGCUUCUUCUGAACUUCAGUAAACGGGGCUGCGACUUUCAUUCCAUUUUAUCUUUUGGUGAAAGUGUGUGAAAAUGACUUCUUGUUCCAUGAUCAGUUUGUGGUGUGAGAUAAAUCUUAAAUCAUCAAAUAUUCUUAUAAGAAACAACUUCUGCAAAUGAACUAAUUUUGUGAGCUUUAUAUUUAAUCAGUAAAGUGGUUGAAAAAGUGCAAUGCAUGCUUUGUUUUUACUUUACAAUAAUGAAGACGAUUAAACUUAUGUUUUCGGUGUGAGUUGACAUUUACAGUGUAUUUGUUAGGAGCAAAUAAAAAUGUUAACAGCUGUAGUUACAGGACAAAAUCUGUUUUUAUAAAUAACACAUUGUUAAGCUUUCUUCUGGUAUUUUUCAUAAUGUCGAAUGUUGAUAUACAAAACAAUAAAUGAGCCCUCAGUACCACAGCUGUAUUUCUCCGAUGUACAUUUCAAGAGUGAAAACAGAAACUGCACGCUGUAAAUCUGAAAUAUUUCCCCAAUGCCAGUAUAAUUACGAAAAAAAUAUGUUUAUUGUAGAAAAGAUAAAUGAAUAAUUUGUAAAUCAUGCAUUCUAUCACUGCUUGUUCUUUUAUCUAAUCUAAAAUACAACAAAUGCAUUCAAAUAAAUCAAUUAUGACACUGAAUUUUCGCGCAAAGAGCUUCAAAAUGCAUUUUAUAAGAAACACAUCUCUGAGUUUGAAGUAUCCCUUCUGAAAUAACUGUCGUCGCCAUAUGAAUACAAACAGUCUGAAGAGCCGUAGGGCGCAAACUCCGAGGUUGCCAUGCCUUCCUGCAGAUUGGACCAAUGCGAAAGACAAAAGCAAUUCUGUAGGUUGCAAUGCUGAUAGUGGUAAUUUUCUGGAGAGAAACUAGAGCUCAAAUCCAUCCGCGUUGGAGAGCUGUAGCACGAAGAAGAUGAAGAGUUGGACUGAGGGGGAGAGUAACUGUUGUAGUCGACUGGACUUGGGAGAUUGAAAGUAUCAGAGGGUGAUCUCGAUACCUGAGGAAAACAUUUUAAAAGCACCAAAAUUAUUUAUUAAAUAGGCCUACGCUGCACGCAUGAUUUUAUUUUUAGUGACAACAUACUUAAGCAUCAGAAACGUCCAAAUGCCAAAUGCCAAAUGCCAAAAAGGUUUACUAAAAAAUAAAAGUACCAAACACAUACCAGGCUAGUACCAUAGAGGUCCGUGUUAGAAGGAAUAUAUCCAUUAGACCACUGCGAAGAAGUGGGACACACGAAAUUACUGCCGCUGAAAGUCUCAUGUGGCAUCAGGUGCAUCAUUUGUUGAUGAUCAUAAGCAUUCUCCAUCGGGAUAUUGACAUUUUCGGUAAAGGGACGUGUCUGGAAAUAGGGCUCUGGAGCUUGCAUUCCAAAGACAUCAAGGUGGGCUGUGGGUAAGACAGAAGAAAAUACUGGCUUGAGCACAGGAGAACAUUUAAAUUAGGCCAGCAAGACUUGAGAUGAUGUCACGAGACCAUCAGCCAAACAGCUAAAUCACAUUUGAAUAGUAGUUUAUAAAAAGGAGAUCAUUCACGGAUCUGUAAGGAACACAUAGAUGUAGGUGUCAUUGUUGUUUUAUUUCUUUUUUCCCCUACAAGAUUGUAAAUGUAGAGCUGAUGCCUGGCGGUGGAUGAAAAGGGUUUCUAUUUUGGAAAAUAGGCUCUGUGCUUCUGCAGUAACUCCUUAACAGUGGUCUUCACACGCACACCCUGGUACACCUUGGGCUUAUCUGCUAGAAUAAAAAAAAAGCCAGAAAGUUUUAUUUCAUUUUCAUUCACCACUGGCAUUAAUUUUAAAUAUUUUUGUCCAAAUUCAGAUUAUCUGUAAAGCAGUCUGUGCAGAAAAAAACAAAACAAAACACUAUUUUUAUUUUGCAUAAAGGAAAAUGUUAACGUAGCCUAUUGAUAUCAGAGUUUUUACAUUCAUCUUUUAUUUAAGACAAUAUUUCUGGGUCAGUGAAGUGACUUUUGCUUGGAUCUGAUAUGUCAAUAAAACACAAGAACUGAAUAAAUCUCUUCUAUGAAGAACAUGCAUUCAUUAUCUAAAUUUUGAUAUAGAGUACAUAUAUAUAAAUUAAAUAUUUUUAUUGGGGGAAAAUGAAUGUCUGUGUGGGAAACAAUUUAGUUGUUUUACGUUGUGUAAAAUGUGUUUAAAACUUGUGAAAAAAAAAAAACGAUCUGGUUGUCAAAAUGAAGUUGCAAGGAAAGUAAUAUUUUGCCACUUUUUACUUAAUGCAUUACACCACUUGUUAUUUUAGAGUCAUAAAACGAAAA